AUUGAACGCUGGCGGCAGGCCUAACACAUGCAAGUCGAGCGGAAACGGCAGUAUUGAAGCUUCGGUGGAUUUACUGGACGUCGAGCGGCGGACGGGUGAGUAACGGCUGGGAACCUGCCCUGACGAGGGGGAUAACCGUUGGAAACGACGGCUAAUACCGCAUAAUGUCUACGGACCAAAGGUGGCCUCUACAUGUAAGCUAUCGCGUUGGGAUGGGCCCAGUUAGGAUUAGCUAGUUGGUAAGGUAACGGCUUACCAAGGCGACGAUCCUUAGCUGGUUUGAGAGGAUGAUCAGCCACACUGGGACUGAGACACGGCCCAGACUCCUACGGGAGGCAGCAGUGGGGAAUAUUGCACAAUGGGGGAGACCCUGAUGCAGCCAUGCCGCGUGUGUGAAGAAGGCCUUCGGGUUGUAAAGCACUUUCAGCAGUGAGGAAGGUAGUGUACUUAAUACGUGCAUUGCUUGACGUUAGCUGCAGAAGAAGCACCGGCUAACUCCGUGCCAGCAGCCGCGGUAAUACGGAGGGUGCGAGCGUUAAUCGGAAUUACUGGGCGUAAAGCGCAUGCAGGCGGUUUGUUAAGUCAGAUGUGAAAGCCCGGGGCUCAACCUCGGAACCGCAUUUGAAACUGGCAGGCUAGAGUCUUGUAGAGGGGGGUAGAAUUUCAGGUGUAGCGGUGAAAUGCGUAGAGAUCUGAAGGAAUACCAGUGGCGAAGGCGGCCCCCUGGACAAAGACUGACGCUCAGAUGCGAAAGCGUGGGUAGCAAACAGG
rnacentral:rRNA from 1 species